rnacentral:rRNA from 1 species
GGCCUUUUGGAGAUUUAUAUAAAAGGUUGGGCCUGCCCGGUGAUCUGAAAUGGUUUAACGGCUGCGAUUGAAACCGUACUAAGGUAGCAUAAUAAUUUGCCCUUUAAUUGGGGGAGAGAAUGAAUGGUUUGACGGUAAAAAAGCUGUUUUAAAAAUAAAAAAAGAAGUUAACUUUUAAGUGAAAAGGCUUAAGUUUUUAUAAAAGACGAGAAGACCCCGUCGAGCUUAAUUAGAAUAACUUAAAUGUAGGUUAUUUAAAAUUUUAUUGGGGCAAUAGAAAAUGAAAUGAAUCAUUUUUUUUAUCAUAAGGAUCCAGUUUUGACUGAAAAAAGCAAAAGCUACCGCGGGGAUAACAGGGUAAUUUUUUCUGAGAGUUCAUAUUUAAGAAGAAGUUUGCUACCUCGAUGUUGGAUUAGAAUUUCUUUAUGCUUGC